AUAGGACUCUGCUAAAUCGCAAGAUGAUGUAUAGGGUCUGAUGCCUGCCCGGUGCUGGAAGGUUAAGGGGAUGCGUUAGCCUGUAUGGGCGAAGCGUUGAACCGAAGCCCCAGUAAACGGCGGCCGUAACUAUAACGGUCCUAAGGUAGCGAAAUUCCUUGUCGGGUAAGUUCCGACCUGCACGAAUGGCGUAACGAUUUGGGCGCUGUCUUGACGAGAAGCUCAGCGAAUUUGAUAAACCGGUGAAGAAGCCGGUUACCCGCAACUAGACGGAAAGACCCCGUGCACCUUUACUAUAGCUUGACAAUGAAUUUCGGGCUGGUUUGUGUAGGAUAGGUGGGAGGCUUUGAAGUGGGGACGCCAGUUUCCAUGGAGCCGACCUUGAAAUACCACCCUGAUUAUUCUGAAGUUCUAACCUGGGCCCGUUAUCCGGGCCGGGGACAUUGUCUGGUGGGUAGUUUGACUGGGGCGGUCGCCUCCCAAAGAGUAACGGAGGCGCGCGAAGGUUCCCUCAGGCUGAUUGGAAACCAGCCGCAGAGUGUAAAGGCAUAAGGGAGCUUGACUGCGAGACUUACAAGUCGAGCAGGUGCGAAAGCAGGUCUUAGUGAUCCGGUGGUUCCGAAUGGAAGGGCCAUCGCUCAACGGAUAAAAGGUACCCCGGGGAUAACAGGCUUAUCUCCCCCAAGAGUUCACAUCGACGGGGAGGUUUGGCACCUCGAUGUCGGCUCAUCGCAUCCUGGGGCUGGAGCAGGUCCCAAGGGUUUGGCUGUUCGCCAAUUAAAGCGGUACGCGAGCUGGGUUUAGAACGUCGUGAGACAGUUCGGUCCCUAUCCUCCGUGGGCGGAGGAGAUUUGAGAGAAGCUGUCCCUAGUACGAGAGGACCGGGAUGGACGAACCUCUGGUGCUCCUGUUGUCGUGCCAACGGCAUAGCAGGGUAGCUACGUUCGGAACGGAUAACCGCUGAAAGCAUCUAAGUGGGAAGCCGUUCUCAAGAUUAGAUCUCCCUUCCGCUUCGUGCGGACUGAAGGCCUCCUGAAGACUACAGGAUUGAUAGGCUGGGUGUGUAAGCGCAGCAAUGCGUUGAGCUAACCAGUACUAAUCGGCCGUGAGGCUUGACCCA
rnacentral:rRNA from 1 species